AAAUGAAUAGACGGGGGCCCGCACAAGCGGAGGAACAUGUGGUUUAAUUCGAUGAUACGCGAGGAACCUUACCCGGGCUUGAAUUGCAGAGGAAUUUAUCAGAGAUGGUAGAGCCCUUCGGGGUCUCUGUGAAGGUGCUGCAUGGUUGUCGUCAGCUCGUGCCGUGAGGUGUCGGCUUAAGUGCCAUAACGAGCGCAACCCCUUUCCUUAGUUGCCAUCAGGUCAUGCUGGGCACUCUGGGGAUACUGCCACCGUAAGGUGUGAGGAAGGUGGGGAUGACGUCAAAUCAGCACGGCCCUUACGUCCGGGGCUACACACGUGUUACAAUGGCCGGUACAGAGAGACGGUUGCUUGCAAAAGUAAUCAAAUCCUUAAAACCGGUCCCAGUUCGGACUGGGGUCUGCAACUCGACCCCACGAAGCUGGAUUCGCUAGUAAUCGCGCAUCAGCCAUGGCGCGGUGAAUACGUUCCCGGGCCUUGUACACACCGCCCGU
rnacentral:rRNA from 1 species